UCUGUUUCCUACGCCGUCUCUCGUUUAUUUUUCCAAUAUGGACGACUAAAACACCGAAGACGAAGACGACGGCGAAGACGACGACGAGGACUCACGGGCGGAUGGAUAAUCUUCGCGGCAGUAGGGAGGAUACCCUCCGUCUCGGAGUGCACCACGAAAUAGUCUCUUGAAAGAUAUAAAGAGAGCAAUAUCACCGAGAGUCGGUAAAAAAGUAAUCUACCUGGAAAGAUGAUAUUGCUGUCAUCGAUAAAGAAGUUUUCUCCCUUUAUCAUGAGAAAAAAGAGAGAAGAGGAUUAAUACGAAGUAGUGAUUAAUGAUACUCAUGGAAAGAAAGGACAAAAAACAAAAAAAAGAUGGGUCAAUUAGGCAAUAUACGUCAUGUGCUGCCGUUAAACGUUUUAUGCAUAGAAGAAGGGAAUCUAUUUGAACGCUAUCGCGUGCCUACCCUUUUGGGGAGUACUCACAGCUCUGCCCCCACUCCCUCUUCAUUCCUUACUCUACCUACACCACAGUUUGCUUACAGGCAAAUAGGAUCGUAUUUCGACGUUAAACAUCCUGUGAUUGAUCAUAUUAAUAUACGACCGUAUAAUGGACGGUCAUCGAUUUACAAAGAAGAAAUAAUCUGGAAUGUGUUUAACGUAUGCGUAUCUCCGUAUGUGGUUCAAAGAUGAAGAUGUAUUAUUAGA